UUGGCCGGGCGACGGUUGUCCCGGUUUAAGCGUGUAGGUGUGUGUUCCAGGUAAAUCCGGUUCACUUUAACACUGAGGCGUGACGACGAGGCACUACGGUGCUGAAGCAACAAAUGCCCUGCUUCCAGGAAAAGCCUCUAAGCAUCAGGUAACAUCAAAUCGUACCCCAAACCGACACAGGUGGUCAGGUAGAGAAUACCAAGGCGCUUGAGAGAACUCGGGUGAAGGAACUAGGCAAAAUGGUGCCGUAACUUCGGGAGAAGGCACGCUGACACGUAGGUGAAGUGAUUUACUCAUGGAGCUGAAGUCAGUCGAAGAUACCAGCUGGCUGCAACUGUUUAUUAAAAACACAGCACUGUGCAAACACGAAAGUGGACGUAUACGGUGUGACGCCUGCCCGGUGCCGGAAGGUUAAUUGAUGGGGUCAGCGCAAGCGAAGCUCCUGAUCGAAGCCCCGGUAAACGGCGGCCGUAACUAUAACGGUCCUAAGGUAGCGAAAUUCCUUGUCGGGUAAGUUCCGACCUGCACGAAUGGCGUAAUGAUGGCCAGGCUGUCUCCACCCGAGACUCAGUGAAAUUGAACUCGCUGUGAAGAUGCAGUGUACCCGCGGCAAGACGGAAAGACCCCGUGAACCUUUACUAUAGCUUGACACUGAACAUUGAGCCUUGAUGUGUAGGAUAGGUGGGAGGCUUUGAAGUGUGGACGCCAGUCUGCAUGGAGCCGACCUUGAAAUACCACCCUUUAAUGUUUGAUGUUCUAACGUGGACCCGUUACCCGGGUUGCGGACAGUGUCUGGUGGGUAGUUUGACUGGGGCGGUCUCCUCCUAAAGAGUAACGGAGGAGCACGAAGGUUGGCUAAUCCUGGUCGGACAUCAGGAGGUUAGUGCAAUGGCAUAAGCCAGCUUGACUGCGAGCGUGACGGCGCGAGCAGGUGCGAAAGCAGGUCAUAGUGAUCCGGUGGUUCUGAAUGGAAGGGCCAUCGCUCAACGGAUAAAAGGUACUCCGGGGAUAACAGGCUGAUACCGCCCAAGAGUUCAUAUCGACGGCGGUGUUUGGCACCUCGAUGUCGGCUCAUCACAUCCUGGGGCUGAAGUAGGUCCCAAGGGUAUGGCUGUUCGCCAUUUAAAGUGGUACGCGAGCUGGGUUUAGAACGUCGUGAGACAGUUCGGUCCCUAUCUGCCGUGGGCGCUGGAGAACUGAGGGGGGCUGCUCCUAGUACGAGAGGACCGGAGUGGACGCAUCACUGGUGUUCGGGUUGUCAUGCCAAUGGCACUGCCCGGUAGCUAAAUGCGGAAGAGAUAAGUGCUGAAAGCAUCUAAGCACGAAACUUGCCCCGAGAUGAGUUCUCCCUGAGACUUUAGGUCUCCUGAAGGAACGUUGAAGACGACGACGUUGAUAGGCCGGGUGUGUAAGCGCAGCGAUGCGUUGAGCUAACCGGUACUAAUGAACCGUGAGGCUUAACCUUACAACGCCGAAG
rnacentral:rRNA from 6 species